rnacentral:ncRNA from 1 species
CAAAACUUAAGCAGGCUAAUCCCAAGAAGAUACUUUCUAAACACUUUUAAUUAUAAUAACAAAUGCUUCAAUUAAAAGUAUUUAAUGGUACUUUUUUGGGUACUACCGGAAAAUCACCAUUAAUCAAGUGCAACAAACCUUGACUUUUGGAAGGAAUGCAUUUAUUAGAUAAAAGGUCGAUGCAGGAUUUGCCCGUUGCUAUGAUGAUUCAUGAUAACUUGAUAGAUUGUACACUUGUUGUGCCGAUGAUGCAUCAUUCAAAUUUUUGCUUUAUCAACUUUCGAUGGUAGGAUAGGAGCCUACUAUGAUAUUGACCGUUGAUACAUAAUUAGGGUUCGAUUUUGGAGAGGGAGCUUGAGAAACGACUACCACAUCGAAAGAAGGUAG